rnacentral:rRNA from 1 species
GAACGAACGCUGGCGGCAGGCUUAACACAUGCAAGUCGAACGCACCUUUCGGGGUGAGUGGCAGACGGGUGAGUAACGCGUGGGAACGUGCCCUUCAGUUCGGAAUAACCCAGGGAAACUUGGGCUAAUACCGGAUACGUGCGAGAGCAGAAAGAUUUAUCGCUGAAGGAUCGGCCCGCGUCUGAUUAGCUAGUUGGUGGGGUAAUGGCCCACCAAGGCGACGAUCAGUAGCUGGUCUGAGAGGAUGAUCAGCCACAUUGGGACUGAGACACGGCCCAAACUCCUACGGGAGGCAGCAGUGGGGAAUAUUGGACAAUGGGCGCAAGCCUGAUCCAGCCAUGCCGCGUGAGUGAUGAAGGCCUUAGGGUUGUAAAGCUCUUUCGUCCGGGACGAUAAUGACGGUACCGGAAGAAGAAGCCCCGGC